UGACCUCAAAUCGGGUGAGACUACCCGCUGAACUUAAGCAUAUCAUUAAGCGGAGGAAAAGAANCUACANGGAUUCCCCUAGUAACUGCGAGUGAAGCGGGAAAAGCUCAAAUUUAAAAUCUGGUGGCCUUUGGCCAUCCGAGUUGUAAUUUAGAGAAGCGCCUUCCGCGCCGGACCGUGCACAAGUCUCCUGGAAUGGAGCGUCAUAGAGGGUGAGAAUCCCGUCUUUGGCACGGAUCUACCGGGGCUUUUGUGAUGUGCUCUCGAAGAGUCGAGUUGUUUGGGAAUGCAGCUCAAAAUGGGUGGUGAACUCCAUCUAAAGCUAAAUAUUGGCGAGAGACCGAUAGCGAACAAGUACCGUGAGGGAAAGAUGAAAAGCACUUUGGAAAGAGAGUGAAACAGUACGUGAAAUUGUUGAAAGGGAAACGCUUGAAGUCAGUCGCGUCGUCCGAGACUCAGCCUAGCCAAAGGCUUGGUGUAUUUUUCGGUCGACGGGUCAGCAUCGAUUUCGACCCUCGGAUAAUGGCCAGAGAAAUGUGACACCUUUACCGGUGUGUUAUAGUCUUUGGUCGCAUACGAGGUUUGGGAUCGAGGAACUCAGCACGCGCCUUUGGGCGUCSGGGCUUCUGCCUACGAUACGUGCUUAGGAUGUUGGCGUAAUGGCUUUAACGACCCGUCUU
rnacentral:rRNA from 1 species